GGUUAAGCGACUAAGCGUACACGGUGGAUGCCCUGGCAGUCAGAGGCGAUGAAGGACGUGCUAAUCUGCGAUAAGCGCCGGUAAGGUGAUAUGAACCGUUAUAACCGGCGAUUUCCGAAUGGGGAAACCCAGUGUGACUCGUCACACUAUCAUUAACUGAAUCCAUAGGUUAAUGAGGCGAACCGGGGGAACUGAAACAUCUAAGUACCCCGAGGAAAAGAAAUCAACCGAGAUUCCCCCAGUAGCGGCGAGCGAACGGGGAGGAGCCCAGAGCCUGAAUCAGCAUGUGUGUUAGUGGAAGC
rnacentral:rRNA from 1 species